rnacentral:rRNA from 1 species
UAGGGAAUCUUCGGCAAUGGACGAAAGUCUGACCGAGCAACGCCGCGUGAGUGAAGAAGGUUUUCGGAUCGUAAAACUCUGUUGUUAGAGAAGAACAAGGACGUUAGUAACUGAACGUCCCCUGACGGUAUCUAACCAGAAAGCCACGGCUAACUACGUGCCAGCAGCCGCGGUAAUACGUAGGUGGCAAGCGUUGUACGGAUUUAUUGGGCGUAAAGCGAGCGCAGGCGGUUUCUUAAGUCUGAUGUGAAAGCCCCCGGCUCAACCGGGGAGGGUCAUUGGAAACUGGGAGACUUGAGUGCAGAAGAGGAGAGUUGAAUUCCAUGUGUAGCGGUGAAAUGCGUAGAUAUAUGGAGGAACACCAGUGGCGAAGGCGGCUCUCUGGUCUGUAACUGACGCUGAGGCUCGAAAGCGUGGGGAGCAAACAGG